rnacentral:rRNA from 1 species
AGAGUUUGAUCCUGGCUCAGGAUGAACGCUGGCGGCGUGCCUAAUACAUGCAAGUCGAGCGAGCCCUUCGGGGCUAGCGGCGGACGGGUGAGUAACACGUGGGUAACCUGCCUAUAAGACUGGGAUAACUUCGGGAAACCGUAGCUAAUACCGGAUAGGUUUCGGUUCGCAUGAACCGAAAUGGAAAGAUGGCUUUUGCU